UACGUAGGGUGCAAGCGUUGUCCGGAAUUAUUGGGCGUAAAGAGCUCGUAGGCGGUUCGUCGCGUCGGCUGUGAAAUCCCGAGGCUCAACCUCGGGUCUGCAGUCGAUACGGGCGGACUGGAGUUCGGCAGGGGAGACUGGAAUUCCUGGUGUAGCGGUGAAAUGCGCAGAUAUCAGGAAGAACACCUAUGGCGAAGGCAGCUCUCUGGGACGGUACUGACGCUGAGACGCGAAAGCGUGGGGAGCGAACAGG
rnacentral:rRNA from 1 species